GGGCCUGGCGCGCGCUCGGGGGUCGCCGGGCCCGCGGGGGCGAGCUGAAAACAAGGAUGGAACAGGCAUCGGGACCUUUCUGUGUGUGUGUGUGCACAGAUGUUACACACACAUACGUUACACACACAGACGUUACACAAAUCCCCAUAUGUUGCCGGCGCUCCCUCGCCCGGAGAGAAGCGAGGCCGGUGUGGACCUCUGAGCCGAGUCCUCCUUACGGUUUUCCUAGACUGGCUCUUUAUGUGGCAUCUGGGAUACAACAGCCUCAGGAAAGGUCUCUGUUAGUCCUUGACCACACCUGUGCCUGA
rnacentral:lncRNA from 1 species